UGGCUGUUUGGGACCCACUGGAUCUCAUUUAUUAUCACACGGUUCAAAUGGGUCCUGUAGGCAAGUCUGGAGAUUUGAAUUAUCGGUGAUAUUAGGGGGCACAUUCAUUGUUUCUGCUGUGGUCGGAUCAUCACUGUAGAUGUCUUAUAGAACCAAAAAAACUUCCUGCCCACUGGCUUUUAAUCAGAGUUUCACAAACCAAACCUCUUGGACUCAGAGGUUUUGUUGCAGUAAACUCCAAUUGAACAGUGGACUUGCCAACAGCAACAUAAUCAACAGUGUAGUGUCUCAAGCAUUUCCCUCCUUUUUGAUUCAUCCUGGAUAAGUGUGUUACAUGAUUCAUAUAUCAUAUAUCCAACAUUGCACCACUCUUGCUUGUGUUUGCUGCAAAGUAUUUAAUAGUAAAAAACUCAGUUCGUGUGUUGAGUCUGAGUCUGAGUCUUGGACCCAAGUCAACAACAGUGGGCUGUAAAUACGGUAUUUCUGAGGCUUAAGGAGUUGGUCCUUUCCUCUGAGGUAAGAAUAAGCUGUGAUUUCCCAAUACAAAUAUUUACUGACCGUGCAUUUAUGAAAAACUGAUUUUCAAAGAUUUCAGAAAUAUCAUGAACAUGAAAGUCUAUAAUCAACAACAGCCUUUACAUAAAAGAGGAAAGGGGGAAAUCUGGAUUUAUUUUGAGUCCAGUACUCUAUAAUUUAGACACUGAUGUCACUGUUUGGUCAAUAUUAUUGCGUGUGAGGGAGCCAAAUCAAGAUCCAGCCCAAAAUGGCCUGUACGUGAGUCGGAUUUGGUCCCAAAUGUAAUGACUUCUCCCUCGGCCAAUGAGCCUCCUUUUUACAGAGACUGAUGACUGAUGGUCAGUGUUUUCAGUAAUCAUGAUGACAAACAAACAGUCUCAUUGGCAGAGGUUGCAAGUGUCAUUGUCAGAAACACAAUAUCUUUAACCCCAAAUUGACAAUUUUCUCUGUAGCUAAACCAAAAAUUGUACAGGACAACACUCAAACAAAGACCACAAGAAUUUAUGCAUUCACAUGAAGGUUUUGAAAAAACUAAUGGGGUGCUCACAUCAAGCACGAGUAAAAUCAUCUACUCGCUUGAUUUGCGCAAAUCUAGACGUGUAAAUGAAUCGUAUUUGCUUACUUCAUUCGUGCGUCAAUGGUAAUUUCAAAAGUAAUCCCUGCCAAUUCAAACAGUGGGAUCAAGUGACAGACAAAGGUUUUUUUUACAAUUUACCAGGUAAUCCGACCUCCUCACUCACUUGCCUUUAGGUGAGCUCCUUUUAAUUCUGGUUUUGAUAAUUGAAAGAAAUGGUAUCAUAUAAUUUGGGGCACUCACACACGAUCAGUUUGUCAGUUUUAGAUACCAGUGAACAACUGUCUGUUUUCAUGUCACCUGGCAACCUUUGUGCUGAUUGGUUGUUGUUACGCGAAUAUCUGCUUAAGUUGAGACAUAUUAAGCGUCCGCCCAAUUCGCAUCAUUCGUGCCGCCAGAGCAAAUGGAGCGUCUAAUCCCAUCUUUGCAUUGACUUAACACAUAAUUUGUUCACGCUAAUAAUUUUACUCGCACUUGGUGUGUGAAGACAGUAAGAAGUCAGAGUUUUUGAUGGGUGAAUUUCCUUACCUCUAGUUUAGGCUGUUUCAGUCUUUGUGCUAAGCUAAGCUAGCUGAUACCCUAUUGACAAAAGAGGACAGAUGUGGGAUCAAUACAAAUGUUUCAGGAGAAAAUAAACGACGAGUCCCCCAAAAUAUGGAACUCUCUCUAAAGGUUUUUUCAUUUUGUCGUUGGUCCUCUCAUAAAACGUACCUAACCCCAGAUUUCUGGAGUCAAGCUGCGGCAUGUGUAACCAGAUAAAUGUCAGGAAAGUGAGACUGAAAAAGAGCAUACAUACUGAGGUAACCCCCUUUGAUAUUUCAAAGAUAGAAAAAUACUUCACAUUUUCUUUUCUGUGUUGCAUUCUAAGUUCUGCCCUCCUUGUUUCUUCCAGACUAUGCCCCAUACAUACGGCAGAAACAUCUACUGGAUGGAGACAAAUGGAGUGAAGGCUGUCUGAACCCCCAAACUGCUGAGGCAGGGAACAAGGGGUGAAACGUAAUAGCUCUGACCCAAAUAGAUUUUACAGCCGCUCCUUUCGUGCUGGGGGAGCCAGCAUAUGCAGAAUACAUUAAGCAGGGGUGAUCAACAGCAGACAUUAUCUUCCUAUUUUGCAAAGUUGGGCAUGGAUUACACUUGGUUUAGUUCAAUGCCAUGCAGGCCAAGGCUUGCACUCACCGUGGUGAAUGGGCAGGAGCAGUGAGAGCCUAUCCUGCCAAGUCUUACAUAACCCUGCCCAGACA